AUACCAUGGUGCAGACACUUUCUCAACAACUCCUUGAAUCUUUCCCAAGCUUCACUAGUGGACUCAUCUUCCAAUUGCUGAAAAGACAUAAUCUCACUUCGAAACUU